rnacentral:rRNA from 1 species
AGCAGCCGCGGUAAUUCCAGCUCCAAUAGCGUAUAUUAAAGUUGUUGCAGUUAAAAAGCUCGUAGUUGAAUUUCGAGAUCAAAUUGUUGGUCGUGCCUCGGUACGUACUGGCAUUAUUGAUUUCUCCUUUCUGAAGAACCUUGAUGUCAUUAAUUUGGUGUCUUGGGGAAUCAGGACCGUUACUUUGAAAAAAUUAGAGUGUUUAAAGCAGGCUCACGCUUGAAUACAUUAGCAUGGAAUAAUGAAAUAGGACGUUUGAUUCUAUUUUGUCGGUUUCUAGGAUCGACGUAAUGAUUAAUAGGGAUAGUUGGGGGCAUUAGUAUUCAAUUGUCAGAGGUGAAAUUCUUGGAUUUAUUGAAGACUAACUACUGCGAAAGCAUUUGCCAAGGAUGUUUUCAUUAAUCAAGAACGAAAGUUAGGGGAUCGAAGACGAUCAGAUACCGUCGUAGUCUUAACCAUAAACUAUGCCGACUAGGGAUCGGAUGAUGUUAAUUUUUAAUGACUCAUUCGGCGCCUUAAC